rnacentral:rRNA from 1 species
UAGUCCACGCCGUAAACGAUGAAUACUAGGUGUAGGGGUUGUCAUGACCUCUGUGCCGCCGCUAACGCAUUAAGUAUUCCGCCUGGGGAGUACGGUCGCAAGAUUAAAACUCAAAGGAAUUGACGGGGGCCCGCACAAGCAGCGGAGCAUGUGGUUUAAUUCGAAGCAACGCGAAGAACCUUACCUAGACUUGACAUCUCCUGCAUUACCCUUAAUCGGGGAAGUUCCUUCGGGAACAGGAAGACAGGUGGUGCAUGGUUGUCGUCAGCUCGUGUCGUGAGAUGUUGGGUUAAGUCCCGCAACGAGCGCAACCCUUAUUGUUAGUUGCUACCAUUUAGUUGAGCACUCUAGCGAGACUGCCCGGGUUAACCGGGAGGAAGGUGGGGAUGACGUCAAAUCAUCAUGCCCCUUAUGUCUAGGGCUACACACGUGCUACAAUGGCAAGUACAAAGAGACGCAAGACCGCGAGGUGGAGCAAAACUCAAAAACUUGUCUCAGUUCGGAUUGUAGGCUGAAACUCGCCUACAUGAAGCUGGAGUUGCUAGUAAUCGCGAAUCAGCAUGUCGCGGUGAAUACGUUCCCGGGCCUUGUACACACCGCCCGUCACACCAUGAGAGUUGGCAAUACCCAACGUACGUGAUCUAACCCGCAAGGGAGAAGCGUCCUAAGGUAGGGUCAGCGAUUGGGGUGAAGUCGUAACAAGGUAGCCGUAGGAGAACCUGCGGCUGG